AAUAACAUUAUUAUUUGCAGAAGAAUGUGCAAGCACAGAGGUACCAGUCCCUAGCGGUGUUUUCAGGAGGAGGGUCAAGGGGAAAAUCACGAGUGUGUGACCUUUUCCCUUUGGUUAAAGGAAGGCUGAGUAGUUGGGCAUCAAAAUAAGUUCCAACAAUGGUUCUUUGGUCACAGAAUGAGCUCUAGGAGAAAACUAAUUAACCAUUACAAGCCAUGCUGUGAACAGAACUACACUUGGCUAGAGGAUGUUUCAAUGAUUCAAGCACUCACUUUUUCAGAUGAGAACCCAAAAUUUACAAUUAUUAUUUGGGCUAUCUUCUUUUGAAAAACUAAUGAUGAGGGCUCAUGGAGAGACCCUGAAAUUAGUGUGCACAAAUUUUAUUUAGGUUUACGUGGUUAAUGAGUCCUGUGUAGUCAGUCCUUUUACUAUUCCUUGCUGCAUGGGGUUGCUGUAUCCAUUCUGCACCAUCUCUGUCUAGAGCUGGAGAGUAUUCACAACAGAGGAGACAUAAGGUAGGACAAAACCAGGCUGUGCCCCUUUUUUGUAUCUUCUUUUCAGAAUUCUGUCAUUCUCUCUUCCCAUCAACAAACUUCCAAAAAGAGCUGUAGAGCUGGUGGGCCACUGACGAUCUGUGAAUAUUGGAGAAAGAAGAGUAAGACAGUGGGAGGUGUGGAUUAGCAGGCCGAGGGGAGCAGCUCAGAACCACCUUUGGCUAGGGCUGUCCCAUGGGGGCCCUUCCCUUUCAAUGAGAUGAUACUUAACUUAGUACAGAAAUUUCAUGGAAGGAGCAAGAACAAAUAUAUCCUCUCCACUGCCUCCAGAAAUAUGUCUUUGCUUAACAAGCUGAAUAAUUUCAUAAUCUUUGUGUAAUUUAAAAAAAAAUAGAAUACCUUUCUGAGGAAGAAAACAAACUGGCUCUCAGGCUUUCCCUGUAGAUACAUCACAGGAAUGGCAACAAGUUCACAAGCCCAACCUGAAAUGCAAAUGUUUAUGUAAACAUUUUCUUUAAUUCCUCCUCCGAGGAAGCCCAGUGGUGUCCCUCACAAUGGGUGGUGAGCUUUUCAUCAGGGCUGGAAUGUGAUGAUGAAGAGGAUGUGGUCAGAGCCAUGAGAUGCAUUUUUCUGACUGUGCCACCCUCCCAGGUGGCUUCUUGGGAACACAGCCCCCUCUUCUGCCCCCUGACUGAUGACCUCCAGCUGGGAGAUGUCAUUCACAUCUCCAUUUUCUCUAAGCCCUGAGAUAAUAUCUCAGUGAAGUAAAUGCACAUAGUCACAUACCUUGAGUCACACACCUAUCUAGAGUAAAUAAACUUCUGGCGACAGCCAAGGUACAAUGUAAAGAGCAGGCAGAAAAUGAAAGACUAUAAACAUUAACCAUGCUGCUGAGGUGCCUGAAAAGGAUGCAUUAUACUGUGCUGUUUCAGUGACUUCUACAAGAAAUUUGGGGCUGAGGGGAUUAAUUCUUGAUAGUCAGUUAAUAAUGAGCAAUACACAAAUGCAGUAGGGGUGAGACUUCAGCUCCAGCAUUAGGAGCAUGAAGACACAAGGGAGGGCUCUAAGCUGGAUGCCUCUGUGUGGAAGUAUACUCUCCUCUGCUCCUGUCACCACUAGCUUAGGACUCUUACACGUGCACAUUUCUCAGUCCCAUAGAUAAGUCAAGUGUCUGAUUCCUCAGCAGAUUGUGUACUGGUACUUCAGCAGUCCUCAUUCCAGGCAGGGGAAAACCAAAACUUUUCUAUGCUGUAUGGCCCUUCAAGGACGCUGAAAUUUCCCUCUUUUCUCCAUGUGCUCCACUUGCUUCUGAUAUCAGUUCUGUUCCCUUCUGUUACCCUGCCAGCCUGUCU